rnacentral:misc_RNA from 1 species
AACGCACAUUGCGCCCCUUGGUAUUCCAUGGGGCAUGCCUGUUCGAGCGUCAUUUGUACCUUCAAGCUUUGCUUGGUGUUGGGUGUUUGUCCCGCCUUUGUGCGUGGACUCGCCUUAAAGCAAUUGGCAGCCGGCGUAUAGGUUUCGGAGCGCAGCACAAAACGCGCUCUGUGUCCAUUACGGCGGCGUCCAUUAAGCCUCUUUUAACGCUUGACCUCGGAUCAGGUAGGGAUACCCGCUGAACUUAA